CUAGCUUGCUAAUAAUUCUCUAGUGGCGCACGGGUGAGUAACACGUGAGUACCUGCCCCCAAGAGUGGGAUAGCCCCGGGAAACUGGGAUUAAUACCGCAUAAAGCAAUAAAGCAGCAAUGCGCUUGGGGAUGGGCUCGCGUCCUAUUAGUUAGUUGGUGAGGUAACGGCUCACCAAGGCGAUGACGGGUAGCCGGUCUGAGAGGAUGUCCGGCCACACUGGAACUGAGACACGGUCCAGACACCUACGGGUGGCAGCAGUCGAGAAUCAUUCACAAUGGGGGAAACCCUGAUGGUGCGACGCCGCGUGGGGGAUAAGGUCUUCGGAUUGUAAACCCCUGUCAUGUGGGACAUUAAAAGAUAGUACCACAAGAGGAAGAGACGGCUAACUCUGUGCCAGCAGCCGCGGUAAUACAGAGGUCUCAAGCGUUGUUCGGAAUCACUGGGCGUAAAGCGUGCGUAGGCGGUUUCGUAAGUCGUGUGUGAAAGGCGGGGGCUCAACCCCCGGACUGCACAUGAUACUGCGAGACUAGAGUAAUGGAGGGGGAACCGGAAUUCUCGGUGUAGCAGUGAAAUGCGUAGAUAUCGAGAGGAACACUCGUGGCGAAGGCGGGUUCCUGGACAUUAACUGACGCU
rnacentral:rRNA from 1 species